CUCUGCCUCACGUGAGCGGAACUGCUGCUCCGACUCGUGCACCGUGCACACACACGCACCUUUUUUUUUUCGGAAGUGCGCUCUGUGGGCGCGUGGGCGACUCAUCGGCUCAUAUUUGCAUCGUUGUCGUGUGCUCGGCCGGCACUCUCUCGCGCGCAUACCUUCUCUUUCUAUGUGUGAUCUCGUAGCCACAUGGCUACAUAAAGAGGAGCGGGAGAGAUGGAGCAGAGCAUUCUCAAUCUGCAAGACUACACUGCCGCCUCCUCAUGGAGGAGGCGGGAUCAGUUGCGGGGUCUGCUGAGCAACCACGCAGACCUUGUGACGAGCCGCAUUCCACUCGCCGCCGAGGGUGUGCUCUUCACGUCAGCGCAGAUAGCACUGCACAACACGGAGAAGGGCUUGGCCGUCUCGCUAAGCCCUUUGAUGGGCACCAGUGCAGUAGGGCUGAUGCCCCUCGACGAGGCCGUGCCGUCGCUGAACGCCGCAGCGCGCAUGCGGUGGCUAGACAUGGCAGAGGGCACAAAGACCUCUUGCGUGGAGUGGUGUGAAGACCUGCUUUUCCUCGGCUCCAGCCGUGGUCGUGUGCUGGUGUGCGAUGUGCCAGUGGCGAGCUGCCGGGAGAGUAGCGGCCUAUUAUCUCCAUGUGGCGCGCUGCUGACCAGAUCUUCGGAGGUAGUGCUGUCUCGCGUUACCGUGCCGCCGAGCGCGCCGGCGUCCUCCACGCUGGUGCGCUCUGUUCGCGUCAACCAGUGCGUCAGCAAGACCAGCGUGCUCGCAGCACAGGACACGUCUGUUUAUCUGUGGGACCUGACAGGAGGAUCUCUGCCGGUGCAGCGGUGGCUUCCACACCGACAUAUCGACGCGGCGACGCCGGUCAUGUUCGCCGAGUGGGCUCCAGGGAGCGCGAGUGUGGUGCUGAGUGGCACCUAUGAUAGCAGCGUCAUGCUGGUAGACACGCGGAGCGCCGCAGCAAGCAACAGCGUAGCCUUCUCUUGCCGCCGCGCAGGCGGCUGUCCAGCCGUAGCGCACUGCGGUGACUUUAACCCGCUCCUGCCCUCCAUCGUUGCGGUUUCGUUUUCGGACGGCACCGUGGCCGUCUACGACGCCCGGUACCCACUGCAGGCGGUACAGACCGUAACGACCCUGCAGGGCGAUGCGGUGCGACUUCGAUGGUGGCGACACAACGCUGACUUGCUGACGACGGCCGGCAGUGAUGGCUCAGUGGCGCUAUGGAACCUGCGCUGCCCGCCAUCUUUCUGCGUUGGCAGGGCGCAGUACCAGAUGCCGCUUUCCGACUUGGCCAUGACGAACACGUUCUCAGAUCAACGGGCGAUCGGUAUAACCGUGGGUGGCGAGCUGACCAUGACAGGCCUGCAGCCGGAGGCGCUCAUGGGGCUGGCGCCAACCUUGUCCUACGGCAACGAUGAAGCCGAGCGCAGGGGCAGCGAGGGCCCCAGCAGAGGCAGCACUGCCUCGCCACCAACGCCGCCCAUCACUGCGGCUGAGGAGGAAGCCCUGCGUAAGGAGGAACACGACGCGUGCGGCUUCUUGUACUUGCGCCGGUUGAAGGAGGCGUACCAGAUGUUGGCUCAGUGCGCAAGUCGUCGCCUGGCGCUGCACCAGACAGACGUGGCGAUGCAGCUCAUUUCUCACAUUGAUGUGGUGCGGGUGCCGCUCUUCGACUACGCCGGCUUCGUCGAGCAGCUGCACAGCGCGGCAAAGGGGGUGGACGACGUGCUGCAGGUGCUGGAAGAGAAUGGGUGGUCCUAUGAAACGAUUCGGCUUCAGUUCGAGGCGAGCGUGCUUCACUGCUCCUCGCACCUCUCGACGACGGUGGCGCUGGAUCGCAUUCGGGCUAUGUCGAAGCCGAACCCCUCCGACGUGCAGACACUGGAGGCCCUUCGACUGAACGUGAUGCUGCACCGGGUGCUCGACUCCGAGGACGUCGAUCAGGUCGUCGUGAGCGUGCGCACCGCGCUCGACUUAAUCAUGGCACACCCGGGCAUCUCCGAGCUCAUCGACGUGCAGACUGUGGAGCAAAUUGUACGCCUGCUGCUGCGCAAGAACUACCCAGAGGGCGAGAGAUUUGUGCAGUUCCUCCUCUCGCAGCUCCGCGUUGACAGGGAACAGACGGGCGUGCCUUACCAGCUGCUCCGUGCGGCCAUGAGCGCCGCGCAGGAGCCGUCUGUCACGAUGGGGAUGCCAACGCGCGCGGCGCGCCGUUUUGUUGAGCGCUUCUAUCGAGACAUGGCAGUCGCGAAGGACGCAGUGCUGACGCAGCUACACAUUCAGCGCCUGGGAGUGGAGCACUACCGUGAGGUGAUCACCAUCGUCAACGCCUACCAGGAGCGGUGCAUCCAGAAAAACUUGCCCGGCAUGUUCGGCUGGGUUGCCCUGAAGCCGUUGCUGCUGUUUCUUCACUGCCUCACGGCGGACUCGAACUACGUGACGUUCUUCUGGGUCAGCGUGCAGUACAUCGAGGCGUUCGCGCACUUCCCGGGUGUGCGCAAGGUGGAGGCGGUACUGUUCGCCGUCGUCGACCGCAUCCACAGCGCCGCAGGGAAGAUCACGAACGACCUCGACGAACUCACCGACACGACGCGCUUUUCCAUCCCCAUGCUGAGGCAUGUGGACAACACGCUCAGCACGACGCACGAGUUUCUGACGGUGUUGAUUCGGGUGCAGCUCGAGUGCGAGAACGUGGCCGUGGCUCGCAAAAUGCGUGCGAUGCCGCCUGUAAUGGAGCAGGUGCAGGAUGUGCUGAACUCCGCCUCCGAGGACGUCCUCGAGGCGUGGGCGGGAGUGAUGGAUGCGCUGCUGGAGUGCGACCAGCCGGACAUGAUCCGCAAAUACUGCCUCGCGACGGUGCGCACGUUCUCCGAGCAGAUGGAGGACUUGAUGGAGGUGUCGGCGAAGGGCGAGGCAGACGAGCGGCUCAACGAGAUUCUCGACGUGUGUGACGACUUCUUUGCGGCGGUGGCCCGCCGCAAGGCCAAAGGUGGCGACGACGCCUGAGGAUAGGGGGGAUGGUGUAGGCAGAGGAGAGCCGAAACGGGUAGGACGUGAGGCUGGCGCGCCGAUUCGUCGGUGAGGGGGAAGCAGUGAAGGGGUCCGCGCGGACGCGUCGGCUUGCACACGACCCGAGCGCCCUCUUGUGUGUGUGUUUACGUGCAGGCAAAGUGCCUUUUGUGUCUCUUUCUCUCUUCCGUUCUUUCUGCUGCUGUUGUCCAACACGGCCCAAACCGCCUUCGCCACCGCGUGUCUCGUUGCGGACUCGCUUGCGCUCUUGUCUACGCACGCGUGCGCACGCGUUUCUCUCGCUCUCGUUGUGCACCUCCUUGCGUUUUUCUUGCCAUGCGCGCUUAGAUACGGUGAC
rnacentral:misc_RNA from 1 species